GGCACAGGGAGCUGCAGCAGAGGCGGUGGAGCUGAGCUGUCUGUACAGCUGAGAAAGGCUCCUGAGCAUGUCUCCUGUUUUAUUAUGAUUCAAGCACACAGACCUACAAGUUUCCAGAUCCUCCUUCCCAGCCUGAGUCCUGCAUCUUAAACUUUGUGCAGCAGAAGACACUACUGUGAAAUUCACAGCACACCAGUUAAUUCAAGAGAAAUGUAACUAAGUAAAAUGUAGCUAAGUAAACAAAUAUUACUGCAAA